GCUGAAAGUUUUUCUGUGUUCCACCGAGCUGCUCCAAUUAAGGUUAAUGGCAUGCUUGUGUAACGAUCCUGCUGCAACAAAAAAAAAAGAAAAAGCCCUUUCAAACACCGAUGCUAUUGUGUCUGGGCCUUUGGCAGAAUACAGGCGUUUCCCCAACAGAGCCAGUGGGGCUAUAAAGGUGCUUCAGUGAGCCCCGGGUCCCCAGGCGCAGCACGGUGCACAUGGGUACCCGUGGGUGUUUUGGCGGCACAGUUUUGUGGCAGGGCACCAAAGAAAACACACAGACAACAGAUGGCCUCUGUUGUCUUCCACCACGCCACGAGGCUUCUGCUGGCUCGGGGUUACACAGCCCACUGAGCGGCAGAGAGACCUGGGACUCAGUCAGAUGGGUACGGCAGAAGGGCACGAGUAACACGCCGCCCUGCAGAAUCACUGCCGCUCUAGCCCCUCCUGGUGCAUCUUCACCCCGGCUGCCAUUAACUGUUCCUGUCUUCCCCCCUUCCUUCCUGAUUUUCUGGGUCAUGCUAUUAAACUUAAGCCCAUCGUCGUCGUGACGGUCCCACGGAGCUCGCUUCCAUCAUUGUACACGAUGCUCAUUUUCC